AUACGGAGGGUGCAAGCGUUACUCGGAAUCACUGGGCGUAAAGCGCGCGCAGGCGGCUAUUUAAGUUGGAUGUGAAAGCCUACGGCUCAACCGUAGAACUGCAUCCAAAACUAUUUAGCUAGAGUGUGGGAGAGGAAGAUGGAAUUAGUUGUGUAGGGGUAAAAUCCGUAGAGAUAACUAGGAAUACCAAAAGCGAAGGCAAUCUUCUGGAACACUACUGACGCUGAGGCGCGAAAGCGUGGGGAGCAAACGGGAUUAGAAACCCGAGUAGUCC
rnacentral:rRNA from 1 species